GGGGAAUAUUGCACAAUGGGGGAAACCCUGAUGCAGCGACGCCGCGUGAAGGACGAAGGUCUUCGGAUCGUAAACUUCUAUCAGCAGGGAAGAAGACGUGACUGUACCUGACUAAGAAGCCCCGGCUAACUACGUGCCAGCAGCCGCGGUAAUACGUAGGGGGCAAGCGUUAUCCGGAAUCACUGGGUGUAAAGGGUGCGUAGGCGGUAGGGCAAGUCAGAUGUGAAAGCCCGGGGCUCAACUCCGGGAUUGCAUUUGAAACUGUCUUACUAGAGUGCAGGAGAGGAAAGCGGAAUUCCUAGUGUAGCGGUGAAAUGCGUAGAUAUUAGGAAGAACACCAGUGGCGAAGGCGGCUUUCUGGACUGUAACUGACGCUGAGGCACGAAAGCGUGGGGAGCGAAC
rnacentral:rRNA from 1 species